GCCUGCGAGUCGAAAGUGGCAAUACAUGGCGUGCUGCUCAGUAACACGUGAGACAACCUGCCCUUAGGUCGGGUAUAAACCCGGGAAACUGGGUAUAAUCCCCUAUAACUCUCGGCUGCUGGAAUGCACCGAGAUUAAAAGCUCCCGCGCCUAAGGAUGGGUCUGCGGCCUAUCACGUACUAUUGGGUGUAGCGUACCUACUAUCCUACGACGGGUACGGGGUGUGAGAGCAAGAGCCCGGAGAUGGAUUCUGAGACACAAUCCAGGCCCUACGGGGUGCAGCAGGCGCUAAAACUUUACUAUGCUGGCAACAGCGAUAAGGGAACCUCGAGUGCCGCGUUACAAAUCUGGCUGUCGAGAUGCCUAAUAAGCAUUUCAUACCAGGGGCCGGGCGACACCGGUGCCAGCCGCCGCGGUAACACCGGCGGCUCGAGUGGUAACCGUUAUUAUU
rnacentral:rRNA from 1 species